rnacentral:rRNA from 1 species
CCUACGGGGGGCAGCAGUAGGGAAUCUUCCGCAAUGGACGAAAGUCUGACGGAGCAACGCCGCGUGAGUGAUGAAGGCUUUCGGGUCGUAAAACUCUGUUGUUAGGGAAGAACAAGUGCUAGUUGAAUAAGCUGGCACCUUGACGGUACCUAACCAGAAAGCCACGGCUAACUACGUGCCAGCAGCCGCGGUAAUACGUAGGUGGCAAGCGUUAUCCGGAAUUAUUGGGCGUAAAGCGCGCGCAGGUGGUUUCUUAAGUCUGAUGUGAAAGCCCACGGCUCAACCGUGGAGGGUCAUUGGAAACUGGGAGACUUGAGUGCAGAAGAGGAAAGUGGAAUUCCAUGUGUAGCGGUGAAAUGCGUAGAGAUAUGGAGGAACACCAGUGGCGAAGGCGACUUUCUGGUCUGUAACUGACACUGAGGCGCGAAAGCGUGGGGAG